rnacentral:rRNA from 1 species
UGAGGAAUUUUGCGCAAUGGGGGAAACCCUGACGCAGCAACGCCGCGUGAGUGAAGAAGGCCUUCGGGUCGUAAAGCUCUGUCAAGUGGGAAAAAAGCCUUGCAGUAAAUAGCUGAAAGGUUUGAUGGUACCACUGGAGGAAGCACCGGCUAACUCCGUGCCAGCAGCCGCGGUAAUACGGAGGGUGCAAGCGUUGUUCGGAAUUACUGGGCGUAAAGAGCGUGUAGGCGGUGAGGUAAGUCAGAUGUGAAAGCCCCGGGCUUAACCCGGGAAGUGCAUUUGAAACUGCUUCGCUAGAGUAUGGGAGAGGAGAGUGGAAUUCCCGGUGUAGAGGUGAAAUUCGUAGAUAUCGGGAGGAACACCCGUGGCGAAGGCGACUCUCUGGACCAAUACUGACGCUGAGACGCGAAAGCGUGGGGAGCAAACA